UUUAUAUACAUAUAGUUCAAGAUUCUUAUUUUUCAUUUAUUACAGAUGGGGACUAGAAAGAUAGUAAAAUCGGAGAAGAAAAGGUUCAUCAUAUGGAAUUUCUUCUGUGGAUUUUCUGACUGGUGUUGAGUUCGGGAAACAAAGGGAAUGGAAAACGAGGAAUAUCGGGCGAAUUGCAAUUGGGUUUGCAGAGGAAGGUGCAGAUGGAGGAGCAUAAGGCGCUGGUUCAGAGUCAGAGGGUAGAGAAGGAAUCUGUGAAAAAUCGCAUUUGGCGGUGACUGGAGAAUUUGCGGUGCGAGAAACGCGAGGACGAAGUUUCAUGGAUACGGAGACUGGAGGAUUCGGUGCGGAAGAAGAAGAGGAAUUAGAAGGACCGAAGAUAUUAAAGCUAUGAUUAUUCUUUAAACGAAAGCUGUCUUCUUGUCGAUUAUUUAGUUCGGCUAAUUUUCGUGCCCUCCUAUUUCGUCGAUUCCGAAUGUGUUAAACCGCGGUGCGAGAGACGCGAGAAUGGACUUUCGCGGUUUUAAGAACUUGAGAGUCCAUUAAAAUUUAAAAUAGUUAUGAUAUCACUGAUUGUGAGUAGAAAAGUUUUUUUUCUAGAGUUGUGUUUAUUCGGCAACUAUUCGAUAUCCUGCUAUUCAGCAAUGUUUAAAAAAAAACAAAAUAACAAUAAUAAUGAUAGUAAUAAUAAUAAUAAUAGUGAAAGUAAAAAUAGGAGACAGAGAUGCAACAAAUAGUAAUAUUCGGCACUUAACGAAUACCGAAUAUUCGGUAGUCAUGAACCGAAUAGCUGAAUAUUCAGCAAAUAUUCGACACGGAUAAAAACAUGUAAAUAUCAAAAAAUAUUGAGAAAAAAAGAAUGUCGAAGAAAAAGAUUAUUGAAAAAAAGAUAAAGAAAUAUCGAAUAAUUGCCAAAUAUUCGUCGCAAAUCUAGUUUUCUCUCUCUCUCUCUCUCUCUCUCUUACUCUUCAAAAAUUUUCUUACGUUGAUUUUCAAGCUAAACAAUUAAUUUUGUAUAGCAUAGAAAAAAGAACAUCAGGGAAUAGAACCUUAAGAGUCUAGCCAAAGCUAAAUUCAAGUAGCGAGAAUGAAAAUGCUAAGAGUCUAACUAGAGGUAAACUUAAAUAACAAGAAUAAAAAUGAAGGAAUAAGGUAAACGUAAUGCAGUAGUAAUGGACGGCUGAUUGGACUUGGCCUGCGUGUUCCUUUUGUGCACACACUCGUGGCGAAAAGAUGAGACUUUGAAAAGAACCUAGUCCGAAUACGAUUAAGUAAAACAAUUAACGGCACGGAGUGAGCUUUAAGUUUGAAGUCGCAAAAAACUAAGUUGAACGUCCGUGACUAUAGCCUUUAAAAUUUUGACUUUGGAUCUCUUUUUCGUAUUCUGUGUCGGCCUUUUUAUAUUGGAAAGUAUGGGUGGAUCUAACGAAUUUCGAUCCCCCAUCAAACUCAAGCAAGUCCAAUGAAGACGCUUCUAAUUCGGCUUAACCAAUUGUUGAUGAGAAGUGUCCGAGGAAUAUCGUAUCUUCCUUGUCUAGGAUUGGACGUGCGAGAUUAGUGUCACUAAGACAUGAGGUUAAAGCAUUUGGGUCUCGCCUUCCAUACAUGGCUGUUCUGUUAAUCUCAUAAACAAGAGCUCUCUUUGGGACGGAGUAUAUCGAUCGCCAAAUUUAUGAUCUUGUGCGAAUGCUAUGUGUUUGUCUAAUAGGACAGUUUGUAUAUCUACUGUCAUGUGACACUUCCCAGCGCACUCGUAAGGCGGUCGGGUUCACCCAUCAUAGACCUAAUUUAUUUGUCUCUUAAGGAGAAGAUCUGUACAGUUUUUGUCUCGAGCAAACCGAAAUAUCGAGAUCCCGUGCUGACAGUAUAAAUAAAGGAAAAAAAUCUUUGAGUCUGGACGUAACACAGCAAAUCAUCAAAAAUUUUAAUAAUCAACAUAACUGAAUAAAAUUUAUUAAAUUUACUAUGGAUUUUGUAACUGAAUGACAGUAAUAAUAUCAACAUCUUGAUCAGAGAGCUUGUAUAUUCAGACAUUUUUCAUGGUUUUAUUUAUGUGUGUCUUAAAUGGAUUAAAAAAUUGUAUCUUAUAUUUUGUUAAACUUGAUUGGCAUAAGAUGCUGAAGAGAAUAGGAUCGAAUAGUAUACUGAUUGUAAAUGCAAAAAAUUGGUAAGUCUGUGUAGUCAUACACUGAUAAAAAGAUUAAAAAGGUACUUAAAAAUUUAUUUGUAUAAUGUAUCAGAUAUAAAUUUAUUUUACUGAAAUAGAUCUUUAGUUAAAUAAA